AUUGAACGCUGGCGGCAGGCCUAACACAUGCAAGUCGAGCGGGGCGGCGGACGGGUGAGUAAUGCCUAGGAAUCUGCCUGGUAGUGGGGGCUAGCGACCGGAAACGGGCGCUAAUACCGCAUACUAUCAGAUGAGCCUCGGUCGGAUUAGCUAGUUGGUGGGGUAAAGGCCAACCAUGACGACGAUCCGUAACUGGUCUGAGAGGAUGAUCAGUCACACUGGAACUGAGACACGGUCCAGACUCCGACGGGAGGCAGCAGUGGGGAAUUUUGGACAAUGGGCGAAAGCCUGAUCCAGCCAUGCCGCGUGUGUGAAGAAGGUCUUCGGAUUGUAAAGCACUUUAAGUUGGGAGGCGUUACCAACAGAAUAAGCACCGGCUAACUUCGUGCCAGCAGCCGCGGUAAUUC
rnacentral:rRNA from 1 species